rnacentral:lncRNA from 1 species
UGCCACCUUACUUUUUAUUCUGCUCCUAACAUUUUUGUCAUAUCAGUUCUGUACCUUCGCUGGCCAUCAGUCUUGUACGAAGCAGGUCUCUGUUACAGAGGAAAGAAUGAUGUGAAAAGUACAGGCCUGCCACCCUUCCAAUUAUUCAACUAGUACUCUGAAAUAACGCAACAGCCCCAGAUGAAUCUACCUCCUCAGCUACCUCCAAAUAUUGUCUCCUCUUUAACAAACAAUGCAGCUAAAACCAUCCAAGGAGAAAAACAGCAAGAUCAGCUCUUCCUACCCAGCUCCAGAACAGAAGCUAGUGGCAGCAGAUAAAUUAUGGAAGUAAGGGAUUUGGAUGAGUGUGAGCAGUCCCUGAGGACAAUGGAGAGGGCUCUGCAGCUUUGGAAGGCUCAGGAAACAAGGUAUCUGUUGUGCAUCUGUGUAUCCCUAAUAACUUUUUAAUUUGGGGGUGGAGUUCUGCCAAAUUUUUCAGAGAGGCAGAAGUCGCAAAUAUAAUUAAGUUGCUGAAGGUUUGUGAAAAUACGUGAUAAUUAGAAGACAGAGACCCCAUAAAUGUCCCAACUGUGGGAACAGAUAUUACGUCAGCUCAUGUGCUAUUAAAUCUAGAAAAUCCACAUUGUCUUCAAAAAUAUCCAACUGUGAGAAAUCGGAGCUUACAGUCAAUUACAAGAUGUGAACAUUUAGGAAACYAGGCAUCAUUUGUUCA